rnacentral:tRNA from 1 species
GCUUCAUUAGUUUAAGGGUAGAACGUGUAUUUGUGGCAUACACAGUAUCAGUUCGAGUCUGGUGUUGGAGA